AUAUUGCAUUUGAAGCACAAGACCCGUUGGAGGUGGGAUCUGGCAAGCGAGCAACUCAUAUAUGAAGGGUUUAUUAACGUGCUAAAGACACGUUAUAGUGACAUAAUGAGGCAUUUGAGAAUAACCUCCACAAUGAUGGCAUCACGCGUCCGAGAAGAUAUGGAUCCAAAUAAUUAUCUACAAUUUGACAUAAUUCGUGAUUAUCCGCCUCAUUCAAUGUCUCUUGAAGUAUGGCGUGCAUUAUGUAGGCGUUGGAACACACCUGGUUGGCUUAACAAGUCCAAGAGUGGGUCCAGAAACCGCAGGAGCGGUAAUAUGAAUGGGAAGUCAUCGCGACACACAGGUGGAUCAAUGGGAUAUGCUGAGCGUCAUGCCCGAAUGAAAAGGAAAAUGAACGCGGAACCCAAUUUUAAACAAAUUUUUCUGAAACCCAUCUCACUAAAGAAUGCAAACAAAAAUUAUGGGACGGGGACAUUGACAUAUAUAACUUGAAGGAAUUGAAGUUUUGUACGAAACGAGCCGAAAAAGUAUAUGGGGAUUAUUUGAGGGCGAUGGAAGAUGUUUACGGGCCGAACUUCAGCGAGUAUCCAGAUGACCCUGCGGUGUGGGCACGUGUGAUUGGAGAAGGUCGCACGCGUCGUGUAUAUGGGAUAGGAUCUUCGGAUCUACAAUACUUGAUGACCGGGACAUGUUCUUCUUCUGCCGGGUCUGCACCAUCGCAAGCAGACUACCAACGGUCUCAAGAAGAGGCUCAAGUUAUGCGAACCCGAAUGGUUGAUCUUGAAGCUAAGGUUCAAGAAGAAAGGAAUCUACUUGUAUCUCGUUUUGAAGAAGAAAGGGAUCUACUUGCAACUCGUCUUGACGAUGAAUGGAAGGCAAGGGAAGAACUUCAAAAACAACUUCAAGAUUUUAUGAAGAAUUGGCGUCCUCCCUCUAAUUAGUUCUAGUUUUUUAUAUCUUUUUGGAAUUACGUUGAAUUGUAUUAGCUUACGGUUUAAACAUACUGGAACUUGCGUUGUAACGCAUGAUUUUUGAAUUUAUGUCAUUGUAACUUCGGUGAAUUUUGUAAAACAGGUUUUUGGUAUUGCAGAUUAUUUCUGGAA